rfam:Oryza sativa Japonica Group DNA, chromosome 10, cultivar: Nipponbare, complete sequence.
AAAAAGGCAAACCCUGGAUUUCCGUGUCCAACGUUUGACUGUCCAUCUUAUAUGAAAUUUUUUUAUAAUUAGUAUUUUCAUUGUUGUUAGAUGAUAAAACAUGAUUAAUAUUUUAUGCAUGACUUGUCUUGUUAAUUUUUUUCAUAUUUUUUUUAAAUAAGAUGAACGGUCAAAAGUUGUACACGGAAACUCAGGGUUUGUCUUUUU